GCCGGGAUAGCUCAGUUGGUAGAGGAGGGGACUGAAAAUCCUCGUGU
rnacentral:tRNA from 1 species